rnacentral:tRNA from 1 species
AGGGAUGUAGCUCAUUUGGUUAGAGCAGCAGACUGUUAAUCUGUUGGUAAGAGGUUCGAGUCCUCUCAUCUCCUCC